ACCCAGGCACCCUGCAUGUAAUCCACUCGUUAUGUACUAGUGUGUCUUUGACCUGAAAUUACAUUGGAAGAAGCUGGAAUUGAAAGUAAAAACGGAAAAGAGCAAAGUAAUUGCAAAACUGUGUGUGAUCACCCAGAACACAGUGUGGAAAGGCCAUUUAAACAACACUGAAAAGCUCCAUACUUCCACCUUUUGGGAUUCUGCUGACCUAGAGGUAAGAUUGUUUUUUCUUCUUAAACACAUCCUUGAGGUUCUAUCCAUUUGUUUUAAUCUAUCUUCUCUCUGUUUUUCAGACUGAAUAAUUUUUAUUGAUGUAUCUUCAAGUUUACUAAUUUUUUCCUUUCCUCUUGAUUCCUCCAAGUGAGUUCUAAAAAACUUUGUGGUUAUAAUGUUUUUAGUUCUUAAAUUUUUAUUUGCUUGCUCUUUAUAUCUGUUCUUUCUUUUGUGAGGAUUUCUAUUUUUUCCUAUGUUUCAAGAGUGUUCAUAAAUUUUCAUUGAAUUAUUUUUCUGGUAGCAUUUAAAAAUCCUUGUCAGAUCAUCUGUGCCAUCUCAAUGUUGGUAUCUGUUGAUUGUCCUUCUUUAUUUGAAUUGAUGUUUGAUGUAUGAUUAUUUUCUUUUUAUUGUAUCCUGGACAUUUUCAGUAUUAUUAUGAGACUUAGGUUUCUAUUUAAAGCUCAUCACUGACAAACCAGGAUGGUAAUCUGGGCUGUAUUCACACAAAUAAUCUCUGCAGAUAACCCCUGGCCAGCAAGAUAUAGAACCCCAGCUAUCCUUAAUGCUUAUAUGUGAUUGUAGUCAGGGUCUGCCCUUAACAGCCUCUCUGCAUGCCCAUUGGUUGAGAAGGAAACUGUCUCCUUACUGCCAUCUUGGAAUGGUGGUAAGUCUGUUUACACAUAAAGCCUCUAUACAUGCCCACCAACCAGGAGACAAAACUAUCUCUUCACUGGACAGGUGAAGUGGAAGUCAGAGUUCUGCUCACUUUAGACAGCGAAGAGCAGGUGUAGUCAAAACUUAGUACUUCCAGGG